rnacentral:lncRNA from 1 species
ACCCCCUGAAAACAGAAUCGCAUACAGGCUAUAGUAUUAAAAUCAGAAAAUCGAAAAUAUAAAUCUUAUUAGAACAUAUUCUACAUUACCAGAUAAACUUCGACAAGAAGAAUAACUGAUAACCAAAACUUAAAUCUGCUUUACAUCUGAAUCAAAAUUAUACUAUCUUAAUCACAACUAGUUCCCUUGACAUCUUCCAAAAUACUUAUCCUGACCAUCGAGGUCUGACAUACUCACUUGGAAUCCUUGCCUAGCGUUAUUCUUAAGCGCAACCCAAACAGGCGAACCAUCUUCGUAUCUAGCUGAAAGG